rnacentral:lncRNA from 1 species
AGUCGAGAACCUAAGCGUUUCCAAGAACUGUGUUUAUGGCCUUUUGUUGACCAGGAACGGCCCCUUCAUAUCCUAUGUCGUCAAAUCCAAGAUGCUUUUCAAGGUCAACUCACUCAGUCACUCUUACUGGGUGAAGACUUGCAAAUCAAUCAGAGCAUUAAGUGGAUCUCCAGAAGUUUCACAGCAAUUUAGAAAUGAAACCAAGAUUUAAUACCAGCCUGCUUAAAAAGGUGCCAUGUCGAUGAUGCACGCCGUGCAACAGAUGGGAAAAGUCCUCAUGCAACUUAACAACAUGCUCACGUUUUCCUGUAGUUCUGCCGAAACACAACUUUGUGAGAGCUCCCUCCGUGAAAGCCAAGGCAGCCAGGUAAUGAAGGAGUCAGAAAGUGGACAGAAGCUGCCGGCAAGUUGUACCUGCCUGAGAAUGGAAUUGGCAACCAUGAAGCCUUUCAACAGAGGGUUUGGUUGUCCCAAGAAUGGUGGCGUUUGCAACCAUUUUGGAAUGGGUCGUGGCCUCGGGAAGGAGCUUAAAGAAAAUCAUUUUGCCCGAAUUCCACGUGAAAAUGGCAUGAUGGAGAGACACCCUGCCAUAUGGUUAGACUCUGUGCAUCACGGACUGAAGUCAGAAAAAGCUUGCCAAGCCCUGAUGCAGAAGAUUGUUGAGUAAAAAACAUCAUUCCCAGCACCGCCAAGCAUGCGCUAAUCUCUUCUCUGCGUCUUCCAAAUUGUGGCUCCAGAUGUUGUCCCUGAUUCAUGGGGUGUUCACGAAAGCUGGCAAGGCCACCGACAAAUGUGUUACACACACAGCCCUCUUCGGAUCCUGCGUUCGCCUCUCUCUCUGCGGCCGCAGGGCUCGAAGUCAAGAACCGCGAGAUCAUGACCUGACUCACGGUCAGGUGCUUAACGGAGCGAGCCACCCAGGCACCCCAAGGAGUGCUUUCAACUACACCAUAGUAAUAAGGUCAAUAUUGGGGAAAACAAAGAAAAUCACAGUGUAUUCCCUUUGCUUUCACAAACCUUAUUCUGGGGCCAAAAGGCGAAAGAACCUGACACUCGUGAUUGCAUCUGGCACAAUUUUCUGCAAAGUUCUGGAAUGUUCCUCCUCUGCUCUCGCAAGGGCGAAAACACAGAUCUUACAACGCUGCCGACUUUCGAAGGAACACGAAAGCCAAGACUUGGCUUCUCCUGCCAUUCCGUGGAGGUGACGAUAGGGAAGAAUCCAUAAACUUCAACAGUAACAUAAACGAGCUGGGCCAAGUAAAUGAACCCAUCAGAAGGAUGCUCCAGUGUCACACAGUGCACAUUCUGGAAAACUCUGGGCCAGUAGAGUUACCAUCAUCCUCAGACACAGGUCUGAGAGAUGCCAGGUCUAUGCUAUAGCCGCGUGGCUUGGAAAUCGGUGCAGGUACCUUUGGGUUUUAUGUUUCCUCACAGAGUCUGUGGGGAGCCAUGUAGGGUACCAUGUACGCCUCCCUCCUUCCUCCUAGAUGACCAUCUUCCACGAUGGGUCUGGGCACAAGGCUGUGCACUGAAACACCUCCUCAACCUCUUUUGCUUCCAGACACGGCCCCGACACUCAUUUCUGGCCAGUUACAUGUAGGAGACAUGCUGGAGUUCAAAUUCAGGUCCUUCCCAAAGCAACGUACUUACCUUCUAACUCUCCCUCUCUGGCCCAUGGCAUCACUUUCAACCAGGAAAGAGGACAGCCCGUUCCCACAUCCCUUUACAACAGUGUUAUGGACUAAAUUAUGGUCUCCUGGUGGGGGAAAAAAGAUACUUUAAAGACCUAUUUUUAGGGGCACCUGGGGGGAAUCAGUCGGUUAAGCGUCCAACUUCAGCUCAAGUCACGAUCUCAUGGUUCGUGGGUUCGGGGCCUGUGUCGGGCUCUGUGCUGAUGCCUCAGAGCCCGGAGCCUGCUCUGGAUUCUGUGUCUCCCCCUCUCUCUGCUCCUCCCUUGCUCGUAUCCUGCCUCCUUCUGUCUCACAAAUAAAUAAACAAAUAAACGACCUAUUUUUAAAGAU